CAGUCGCCACGGUAAUACGGAGGGUGCAAGCGUUAAUCGGAAUUACUGGGCGUAAAGCGCACGCAGGCGGUCUGACAAGUCAGAUGUGAAAUCCCCGGGCUUAACCUGGGAACUGCAUUUGAAACUGUCAGGCUGGAGUCUUGUAGAGGGGGGUAGAAUUCCAGGUGUAGCGGUGAAAUGCGUAGAGAUCUGGAGGAAUACCGGUGGCGAAGGCGGCCCCCUGGACAAAGACUGACGCUCAGGUGCGAAAGCGUGGGGAGCAAACAGGAUUAGAUACCCCGGUAGUCCCUGUCUCUUAUAC
rnacentral:rRNA from 1 species